GGGGCUAUGGCGUAAUUGGGAACGCACCUGACUGGCAGUCAGGAGUUAGCAGUUCGAUUCUGCUUAGCUCCA
rnacentral:tRNA from 1 species